rnacentral:rRNA from 1 species
CAGUAGCCGCGGUAAUACGUAGGGUGCAAGCGUUAAUCGGAAUUACUGGGCGUAAAGCGUGCGCAGGCGGUCCGCUAAGACAGAUGUGAAAUCCCCGGGCUUAACCUGGGAACUGCAUUUGUGACUGGCGGGCUAGAGUAUGGCAGAGGGGGGUAGAAUUCCACGUGUAGCAGUGAAAUGCGUAGAGAUGUGGAGGAAUACCGAUGGCGAAGGCAGCCCCCUGGGCCAAUACUGACGCUCAUGCACGAAAGCGUGGGGGGCAAACAGGAUUAGAUACCCCUGUAGUCCCUGUCUCUUAUAC